rnacentral:lncRNA from 1 species
UUUUCUCCCAUUUUCCACCGAUGAUUGAUUCGUCCCUGUUCCCUGGUUCACCUGGAUUCGCAGACCUUUCCUGAGUUGGUGGAGGAGUCGUUGCUAGAUGAUUGGGAUUUCCGGCAGGUGGAAUCGCAUCAGAGGAGGCGCAAUUUCUGGACUCUCCUCCUCAGCAACUACAUUUUUUGAACGAGGGUUUUGGUUUGGUUUUAACAGAUGAACUAACAAAAAGGUGCCGACAUCGGUUGAUUUAUAGAGCGAGGAUGGAUAAGAAAUUAGAGGCAGCUUCAUCUUCUUCAUCAGUUGAUUAAUUUCUCAGUUAAGAUCCACAUGGUAGAAGAGGAGUAGAAAAUGGACUGUUUGCAUAAUUGGUGGAUCCGUUGUUCUUCAAUCGCUAGAAAAUUUGGUGAAUCUGUCAUUGUUACUUACUACAAGGAGCUUCCUAACUCCAGGUAGAAGGAGAUGAUAUUAAAACAGAUGAGUAUUAUGGAAGAGCAAUACUAGCGACUCCUAGAGACGGAGACCUUUUGUCUUUGUAUGGCAAACUAAUUUGGGACGUACAGGCCAUUAGCGUCUCUCCUGGUGACUGUAGGGUUAUGGGAUCAUUAGCACAAUUUAUGUAGGAUGCAGUCCGGAUCUAAGGUGCCGGUUCCUGCCACAAAAGCGAUAUGAUAAUUGCAGCUUUUGCAGGAGAGUUUGAGUGGAAGCGUUAUUACUUAUUAGGUCAUCAACAGGAGAGUUUGAGGAGGAAUUGUGAAUCAGAACCAGAAUCAAGGAUGUUAGCUGUGAAUUAUGUGCAAAUAAAACAUCCUAAAAUACUAAAUACCACACAGUCGUAACCAUCGAGGGAUGAUAGUGGUCUGGAGCCUCAACCGUCGUCUUCGGCGUAGCCAGUGGCGAAGCUUGAAAAUUUCCACCGGUGGGUCGGAAGUCAGCGGACCUAAAAGUAUAUACCUAUUUUUUUUAAAACCGGGGGGUCGAAAACGUAUAUACCUAAAAAAUUCUAUACGGAACGUACAUACAUAACACUACUGAGCGAAAAGUUCAGGGGGUCGCCCCCUAGCACCGCGACCCUUCAUAGCUUCGCCGCCGCGUAACGGCUUCCGAUAGUAAUUCCGGUAACGACAGAAGGGAUGACAUCAGUCAUCAACUGCAAGCCAGUUUUCCGACGAAGAGGGUUAUAUGACCAAAUCGGUCGGCGAUGACUAUGACACAUCAGCAUGGAGUUAAAAAGAUGCCUGCUUUAGUUAAUUACAGAGGUUCAUUCUAUGAGGGAAUUUCUCAUUUUAGUAGGAUCUUUCCAAUUAAAUAGCUUAAUAGCCAUAUUGGUAGCGGUUGGGAUGAUUUUAGCCACAACAAUUCACGUGGCUCGGACCUAGCUUUAUGAUUAGUUCGUCAUAAGAAGAAUCUGAUCUGUUUUAGUAUACGGAUCAACCUGCAUCACCUCAGGUGAGUAGCCACUCACGUACGUAAUUGUUAUAGGGCAUUGUAUUGCCUGCCGAACGUGGUGCCGCAUCGCUACGAGACCGAAAAAGACAGUGCACCACGAUACCCAGUUCCUAUCUAGGAUGCCCGAGGAGUAUGAGUUGACGCUACUGAACGUUUGCUACUGAACAGGUUUAGUAGCAUCAAUAAUUCAAACAUGCUACACUGUUCAUUGAGUCAUUCUAGAGUGCAGGGGACCUGUAUGAGAAGUAUGUUUGAUACAUGUCGAACCAUAGUUAAAAAAAAAAACAACGAACCGAAUACGUUGAUUCCAUUUGGCCAUAUUAUAACUAUUAUCUUUGGGUUUUUUUUUCCGUUUGCCAUGGUGAGCGCAUCGUAGUGUGAUACCGAUCGAGUCUUCGUCCGAUACCCGCCGCAACGCGCGGCAAAAAUACCUAGUUAAAGAAUAAAGAUGAACUAAAAAAUACA